rnacentral:rRNA from 1 species
UACAGAGGGUGCAAGCGUUAAUCGGAAUUACUGGGCGUAAAGCGUGCGUAGGUGGUUUUUUAAGUCAGGUGUGAAAUCCCUGGGCUCAACCUGGGAACUGCAUUUGAUACUGGAAAGCUAGAGUGUGGUAGAGGAUGGUGGAAUUCCCGGUGUAGCGGUGAAAUGCGUAGAUAUCGGGAGGAACAUCGGUGGCGAAGGCGGCCUUCUGGACAGCGACUGACGCUGAGACGCGAAAGCGUGGGGAGCAAACAGG